rnacentral:rRNA from 1 species
AACCUGNGGAAGGAUCAUUG